UACGUAGGGUGCGAGCGUUGUCCGGAAUUAUUGGGCGUAAAGGGCUCGUAGGCGGUUUGUCGCGUCGGGAGUGAAAACCUUGGGCUUAACUCAGGGCUUGCUUUCGAUACGGGCAGACUAGAGGUAUGCAGGGGAGAACGGAAUUCCUGGUGUAGCGGUGAAAUGCGCAGAUAUCAGGAGGAACACCGGUGGCGAAGGCGGUUCUCUAGGCAUGAUCUGACGCUGAGGAGCGAAAGUGUGGGGAGCGAACAGG
rnacentral:rRNA from 1 species